CCGCCGUUUGAGGGGUUUCUUGCACGAGAGGGUUUCCAACCCUAGCAACAGUGACCAGAGAGAGCUGGGGAUGAAGCAUUGAGUUACAGACACUUGCCGGAGAGAAGAAAUGGAGUGAUUUCCUCCUGUCUAUAGUCACUUAAAAAUUACAUUGAGUUGAUGUCUCAGCAGCCAUAGAAGAUCAGCAAAACAAUCUUCCGCUUAGAGCAGAGGGACACAUUUGAGAAGAGGGUUCAUGUUGCCUUUGCAAUAGAUUCCAUUCGUUAUAGAUGAAGAUAAUCUUCAAUCAAGGGACUCUUCACUGUUGUCUAGUACGACCUUCAAGCAAGCACGCGCCUAAGAUUUGCCUUCAUGGUGGUUACAAGUUAGAGAUUCAUGAUAAAAGCAGAGAGGAGUAGAAGAAAUGGCACCAGCAAGCAAGGCAGGCAAGAAGGCUGCUCUAGAUGUGGCCUCAUGGAUGUUCAAUGUUGUUACUUCUGUUGGAGUCAUCAUUGUCAAUAAAGCUUUAAUGGCCACAUAUGGCUUUAGUUUCGGUAAAUUCAAUACGGUUCUCCAGUCUAUUUCCUUGUUGGUUUAACUGAUUUGUGUUUUUAUG